rnacentral:rRNA from 1 species
GACGAACGCUGGCGGCGUGCUUAACACAUGCAAGUCGAACGCUGAAGACCUGGCUUUUGUUGGGUUGGAUGAGUGGCGAACGGGUGAGUAACACGUGAGUAACCUGCCCUCUUCUUUGGGAUAACGCCCGGAAACGGGUGCUAAUACUGGAUAUUCACUGAUCUUCGCAUGGGGGUUGGUGGAAAGGUUUGUUCUGGUGGGGGAUGGGCUCGCGGCCUAUCAGCUUGUUGGUGGGGUGAUGGCCUACCAAGGCUUUGACGGGUAGCCGGCCUGAGAGGGUGGCGGGUAUGUUGGGGACGGAGGCACGCCGAGACUGCGGAGGGGGGGAGGGGGGGGGGAUGAUGGAAAAGGGGGCAAGGGCUGGAGGCGGCGCGGCGGGGGGGGGAGGGGGGGCUUGGGGGUGGUAACCCUUUUUGGCUAGGGUUAAGGCCCAAAUGGUGGUUUGGGGGGGGGGUGGGGGAUAAAGAGCCGCGGACAAGCUAGGUC